UACGUAGGGGGCAAGCGUUGUCCGGAAUUACUGGGCGUAAAGGGCUCGUAGGUGGCCAACUAAGUCAGACGUGAAAUCCCUCGGCUUAACCGGGGAACUGCGUCUGAUACUGGAUGGCUUGAGUUCGGGAGAGGGAUGCGGAAUUCCAGGUGUAGCGGUGAAAUGCGUAGAUAUCUGGAGGAACACCGGUGGCGAAGGCGGCAUCCUGGACCGACACUGACGCUGAGGAGCGAAAGCCAGGGGAGCAAACGGG
rnacentral:rRNA from 1 species